UGCUCCAUUUAACAAGAUAGUAUCUCCAGCGUCGGCCACCUACCUAAAUCAUGCAGAUCCACGCCAUCCCCGCACUCCUCCUUGAUCCUGCUGGCAGAUCUCGUGCGCCGCGCUCUGGCAGUCGGUGAUGCUUCCCUGCCACCACUCUGCCUCCUUCCCGAUGGGGCAACGUCGCCGCGCGUAUAGGAAGUUCAUCGCCGCCACCUCAAGCCAUUCAAUGUCGACGUCGUGGAUGCGCCCCGCUCCAAGGCCAUGGCUUGGGCUUUAGCGGCAAACAAUGGAGCCUGCAGGGGGAGCCGCGGGGUCGAGGACGUCUAGUUCGACAGUCCAACUGCUUGCUCGGCCGCCGGUCAAUCAAGGAGCUUGUCAUUCCCUACCCUGCAACCAUCAAGCGUGUGCUAAUUGUGACUGAGGUUGCACUGCCCAUGGCAGGUCUCGACGUUUGAAACAAUUAGCAGCAAUACAAACAGCAGUUUCACCUACAGGUUUCCUUUUCAUCCGUCCCUCUGAUUGUUUUGGAGAAUAGAGACGGGAGCUUGUAUGUUCACUGAAAAAGUUUGGAUCCUGAGCAGAUUAUUCUCAAGAAAAUUGUUUUGACUUGCUGUUCAGAUAUUUCUUUUCAACAUGUAAGUAUAGUAAGAGGAGCCGCGAGGUCGAGGACCUCCCUGUCGGCAGUCCAACUGCUAGCUCCGCCGUUGGUCGCUUAAGGAGCUAGGUAUAGGCCACCCCAUGCUCUACCCUGGAUCCUGCUGUCUUGUGCCUCACUGACUCUCCCUCUCUGAUCGAUCUCGCAUCGUUUAUGUACCUUUCAUUCCCUAUUAUGCAAGUAUCGAGUGACUUUAGUUCUGAACCCUUUUUUCUGAGCUUACUGUACUAUUUAUGUUACCUUAUCAUCCCAUCAGCCUUAUGAUUUAGACUAAAUUUCAGCCAUGAUUUAGACUUUCUUUUUGCAAUAAAUAGUUCACUAUCUCAGUACAACUAGUUGACCAUCUCGGUUCAACUAUGAUUGGGUGUGCCAAAAUUAGAUGCUUGACUGCCUUAUUAUUAUCACUAGUGCUUUGUUCAUAGUACUGUUGGUGGUGCACGCACCGAACGAUAGUUGGUAGCUACGGCUGAUUCACAUUUUUUCUCUAAUGUUUGUUGUAGCCUGAAGGCCUGCUUCUUGCUUAGCUACUGGUUGUGCGUACUCAUUGGUGCGCUGCUGCUGUUGCAGGGUGAUGUGAGUGAGAUAGAGAGAGAUAGAAAAUGAAAUGAUCUUCCACAUGUACUAACUCAUGACACUGAAGAACGUUUAACUAUGUUUCAUCUCUGAACUUAAACGCAUUUGUUCUUGGAGCUAAAAUUCCUAGAGCUUCAGUCCAACUUUUGGUGAUUCUUGUACUUAUUGUUCAGAAACCAAUGGUGAAAUUUUUUGAAUGCAGCAAUGGCAUGCUCCCAGCCCGCCGAGACUGAAUCAUUCGACACUACUUCUUUGCGCAGUGUGGCUCGAUGUGCAGCCCGCCAGCUCCGUCGUGUACAUCCAGACAAGACGCUAUGGUGUAGAAUUUAAUGCAUGAAGUUUACAGGAAAAAAACAUUCCAAGUCUCGUUAUAGAUGCAAACAUACAGCAACAGUCCAUCUUCAAAAUUAUUUGACCACCGUCGUUGGCUGUUCUUCUUCGACAUCUCCUAAAGUUCAGCUUUCGUCAUCUCAUCCUUGUAUCUAUACCACGAGGGAGGUUUGGACGGACGCUGAUCACUAGCCCACUACAGUACAAAAAAAUACUUCCGUGAUGAUACGUGUUUGUCACAGUAGGUCACAUUUUCUGUCAUGCAUGUACAUCUAUGACAUUUUUAUGACAGAAUCAAGAUAGUUAUACCAGUGCUGUCGUAGAAGUGU